rnacentral:tRNA from 1 species
GCCGGGGUGGCGGAAUGGCAGACGCGCCGGAUUCAAAAUCCGGUACCCGCAAGGGUGUGAGGGUUCAAGUCCCUCCUCCGGUACCA